rnacentral:lncRNA from 1 species
AACCCACAAAAACCUCCCAGAUUUGCUCCCAUCAAUUUCUUCAUGGAAGAGGCUUUGCUACCCUAUGUUGAUUGGGUUGGAGCAGCACGAACUAGACCUGGCAUACACACAGUGUUGUGGCAGUGGUUGUUGCAGCAGCUGUGGUGUGGCAAGACACACUGAUGUCCCGUGGACUGCUGUUGUCUUCAACUGCACAGGAAGCAGCAACACUUGGGGAACGUUAAACAGGUCUAUCCUGAAAGUAACCUGGGGCUCCAUCAUGCAGAAUGAAAAAUGAAAGGUAAGGACAAAUGCAAAGGGAAUCCAGGGCACAGUGCAGGAGAAAGCUACUUAAUAAAUAUUUGUAAGUGGGACA